UUACGUGGAGGCAUUGGUGGGAUACUACCCUAAUUGUAUUGGAUUUCUAACCCGCAGCACUUAUCGUGCUGGGAGACAGUGUCAGGCGGGCAGUUUGACUGGGGCGGUCGCCUCCUAAAGAGUAACGGAGGCGCUCAAAGGUUCCCUCAGAAUGGUUGGAAAUCAUUCAUAGAGUGUAAAGGCAUAAGGGAGCUUGACUGCGAGACCUACAAGUCGAGCAGGGUCGAAAGACGGACUUAGUGAUCCGGUGGUUCCGCAUGGAAGGGCCAUCGCUCAACGGAUAAAAGCUACCCCGGGGAUAACAGGCUUAUCUCCCCCAAGAGUUCACAUCGACGGGGAGGUUUGGCACCUCGAUGUCGGCUCAUCGCAUCCUGGGGCUGUAGUCGGUCCCAAGGGUUGGGCUGUUCGCCCAUUAAAGCGGUACGCGAGCUGGGUUCAGAACGUCGUGAGACAGUUCGGUCCCUAUCCGUCGUGGGCGUAGGAAAUUUGAGAGGAGCUGUCCUUAGUACGAGAGGACCGGGAUGGACAUACCUCUGGUGUACCAGUUGUCGUGCCAACGGCAUAGCUGGGUAGCUAUGUAUGGACGGGAUAAGUGCUGAAAGCAUCUAAGCAUGAAGCCCCCCUCGAGAUGAGAUUUCCCAACUUCGGUUAUAAG
rnacentral:rRNA from 1 species